rnacentral:rRNA from 1 species
CGAACGUUGGCGGCGUGGAUUAGGCAUGCAAGUCGUACGAGAACGCUACCUUCGGGUAGUUAGUACAGUGGCGAACGGGUGAGUAACACGUGGGAAACCUGCCCUCAGGUUGGGUAUAACAUCCCUAACGGGGUGCUAAUACCGAAUAACACGAUCGAAUCGCAUGGUUUGGUCGUCAAAGCUGGCCUCUAUACUAUGCUAGCGCCAGAGGAUGGUCCCGCGUCCCAUUAGCUUGUUGGUAGGGUAACGGCCUACCAAGGCUACGAUGGGUAGCUGGUCUGAGAGGAUGGUCAGCCACACUGGGACUGAGAUACGGCCCAGACUCCUACGGGAGGCAGCAGUCGAGAGGCUUCGUCAAUGGGGGCAACCCUGAACGAGCGACGCCGCGUGAGCGAUGAAGGUCGUAAGAUCGUAAAGCUCUGUUAGUGGGGAAGAAACUCCGGAGUGCUAAUACCACUACGGCUUGACGUUACCCACAGAGAAAGCUCCGGCUAACUCC